rnacentral:rRNA from 1 species
AGAGUUUGAUCCUGGCUCAGGAUGAACGCUGGCGGCGUGCCUAAUACAUGCAAGUCGAGCGAACAGACGAGGAGCUUGCUCCUUUGACGUUAGCGGCGGACGGGUGAGUAACACGUGGGUAACCUACCUAUAAGACUGGGAUAACUUCGGGAAACCGGAGCUAAUACCGGAUAAUAUUUCGAACCGCAUGGUUCGAUAGUGAAAGAUGGCUUUGCUAUCACUUAUAGAUGGACCUGCGCCGUAUUAGCUAGUUGGUAAGGUAACGGCUUACCAAGGCAACGAUACGUAGCCGACCUGAGAGGGUGAUCGGCCACACUGGAACUGAGACACGGUCCAGACUCCUACGGGAGGCAGCAGUAGGGAAUCUUCCGCAAUGGGCGAAAGCCUGACGGAGCAACGCCGCGUGAGUGAUGAAGGUCUUCGGAUCGUAAAACUCUGUUAUUAGGGAAGAACAAACGUGUAAGUAACUGUGCACGUCUUGACGGUACCUAAUCAGAAAGCCACGGCUAACUACGUGCCAGCAGCCGCGGUAAUACGUAGGUGGCAAGCGUUAUCCGGAAUUAUUGGGCGUAAAGCGCGCGUAGGCGGUUUUUUAAGUCUGAUGUGAAAGCCCACGGCUCAACCGUGGAGGGUCAUUGGAAACUGGAAACUUGAGUGCAGAAGAGGAAAGUGGAAUUCCAUGUGUAGCGGUGAAAUGCGCAGAGAUAUGGAGGAACACCAGUGGCGAAGGCGACUUUUCUGGUCUGUAACUGACGCUGAUGUGCGAAAGCGUGGGGAUCAACAGGAUUAGAUACCCUGGUAGUCCACGCCGUAAACGAUGAGUGCUAAGUGUUAGGGGUUCCCCUCCUUAGUGCUGCAGCUAACGCAUUAAGCACUCCGCUGGGGGAGUACGAACCGCAAGGGUCAAACUCAAAGGAAUUGACCG